rnacentral:rRNA from 1 species
AUGAACGCUAGCUACAGGCUUAACACAUGCAAGUCGCGGGGCAGCAUGGGGGUUGCUUGCAAUCCCCGAUGGCGACCGGCGCACGGGUGAGUAACGCGUAUCCAACCUGCCCUUCACCACGGGAUAACCCGGCGAAAGUCGGACUAAUACCGUAUGUUGUCCAUUGACGGCAUCCGAUUUGGACGAAAGGCUUGGCGGUGAGGGAUGGGGAUGCGUCCGAUUAGCCAGACGGCGGGGUAACGGCCCACCGUGGCUACGAUCGGUAGGGGUUCUGAGAGGAAGGUCCCCCACACUGGAACCGAGACACGGUCCAGACUCCUACGGGAGGCAGCAGUGAGGAAUAUUGGUCAAUGGGCGUAAGCCUGAACCAGCCAAGUAGCGUGCAGGAUGACGGCCCUAUGGGUUGUAAACUGCUUUUAUGCGGGGAUAAAGUGGCCCACGUGUGGGCUUUUGCAGGUACCGCAUGAAUAAGGACCGGCUAAUUCCGUG